rnacentral:rRNA from 1 species
AUUGAACGCUGGCGGCGUGCUUAACACAUGCAAGUCGAACGGUAAGGCCCUUCGGGGUACACGAGUGGCGAACGGGUGAGUAACACGUGGGUGAUCUGCCCUGCACUUUGGGAUAAGCCUGGGAAACUGGGUCUAAUACCGAAUACACCCUGCUGGUCGCAUGGCCUGGUGGGGGAAAGCUUUUGCGGUGUGGGAUGGGCCCGCGGCCUAUCAGCUUGUUGGUGGGGUGAUGGCCUACCAAGGCGACGACGGGUAGCCGGCCUGAGAGGGUGACCGGCCACACUGGGACUGAGAUACGGCCCAGACUCCUACGGGAGGCGGCAGUGGGGAAUAUUGCACAAUGGGCGCAAGCCUGAUGCAGCGACGCCGCGUGAGGGAUGACGGCCUUCGGGUUGUAAACCUCUUUCAAUAGGGACGAAGCGCAAGUGACGGUACCUAUAGAAGAAGGACCGGCCAACUACGUGCCAGCAGCCGCGGUAAUAC